CUGGGGACUCACGGGGCUGGACGAAGCUCUGUGAGAGGCACAAAAAGAGGACUGGGCCUCCCUUGUCCAGGAACUCACUGAACGUGGUCAUCCCUGGACCUCAAGGGCUUCACUUCCUUGCUUUCUGAAGAAGCUGGAGGGAACCAGGGAAGCCCUGAUGUACCUGUCCUCGGGAUUCCUCGAGUGGAGAAGGGAAGCGUGGAGGGUCAUUUCGGUGCACCCAAAACCUUGUGGAGAACUUGGCACAUGAUCCCCAGAUUUGUGGGCCAAUAGCUGAAAAAUUCCAAAGGCAGGAGGGCAGAUCUCAGCCAGAUGCCAAGAAAAGGCCGUGGGAACAGCAGCUCAAGGGCGAAGCACCAGUGUCUCCUCAGACCACAGGGAAGCCAAGCUGAGAGCUGAUGUGGCCACAAGCUGCUGGGACAAAGAGGACUGGCCAUGGAGUCCAACAACUGCUUCCUGGAGUCUUUUGUUCUAUCUAGGUCUUGUUUGGCUGAGAGGAGAGUGAAGGUGCAUCCAGCCACCAUGCCAUUCUGCCCAAGCACCUGGGGCCAAGUGACCAUGGCCUGAACCUCUGAAACCACAAGCAAAAUCAACCUCUCCUCCUUUAUUUCUGUCAGGUAUUUGGUCACAGUAAUGCCAAAGUAACCAAUACACAAACUAUCACGGGGUUUCCCCUUGAUAUUUAAUUAGUCUUUCAACUAUUAAUUUAAAAGGGAUUUUUAAAGAUGGGGGGUCUCACUGUGCAGCCCCAGCUGGCUUGGAACGCGCUAUGUAGAUCAGGGUGGCCUGGAAUUCACAGAGAUUCUCCUGCCUCUGCCUUCAGAGUGCUUGGACUAUACCAUCAUACUUGGCUAAAAGUGAUAAUUUUGCCAGUAUUUACAUGCCCAGAGAAACUAACAGCUGGGCAUGAUCAUGAAGUCAAAUUCUUUAGAACUGUCCUUCUGAUAAAGGCUUCCAUGGCAUGUACACAGUAGAGCUCCAUUUGCAAACACCCCAGAGAAGUAAGCAGUCUGUAUAGGAAACAGAAUAUAGUGUGAAUCCCAUCUAAUUUUAAAUAUUUUAAUUUAUAUACUUUCACAAAUAUAGGUCAAUAAGAAAUCCACUUUUCAGGUUUUAUUUCAUUAUAGAAUAUAUUUGAUAAGGGUACAUACAAACAGAUUCAUCUUUAGUACAUGUUAUUUUCUAGUGCCCUGCACUUUCACAGCAGGCUAGAGAUGCCAAGAAAAAUUUCUCCAAACUGUCCUUCAUCAGCCCUUCUAAACAAUCAGUGCUGCAGAGGUCAGGUAAUUCGUUUACUUCCUUAAAUGAGUAAAAAUCUUAAUAUUCUGAAGUCUGUUUAUGA